rnacentral:tRNA from 1 species
UCCGGGGUAGCUCAGCGGCAGAGUAGGUGACUGUUAAUCACUUGGUCGCGGGUUCGAAUCCCGCCCCCGGAG